rnacentral:tRNA from 1 species
GGAAGUGGAUGAGCAACUGGUGUUCUCCCCGGUCUUCAAAACCGUGUGGGCGGCGUGAGUCGUCGGUAGGUUCGAUUCCUACACAUUUCCGCCA